CCGAGUUUACAACUCCCAAACCCCUGUGAACAUACCUUAAUGUUGCCUCGGCGGAUCGGCCCGCGCCCCGUAAAACGGGACGGCCCGCCAGAGGACCCAAACUCUAAUGUUUCUUAUUGUAACUUCUGAGUAAAACAAACAAAUAAAUCA
rnacentral:misc_RNA from 1 species